rnacentral:rRNA from 1 species
AACAAACGCUGGCGGCGUGCCUAAUACAUGCAAGUCGAACGAGGUAGCAAUACCUAGUGGCGCACGGGUGAGUAACGCGUGGAUAAUCUGCCUUUGAGUGGGGGAUAGCUAGUCGAAAGAUUAGCUAAUACCGCAUAAGACCACAGGAACUGAGGUUCUAGGGGUUAAAGGUUUUUCGCUAAUAGAUGAGUCCGGGUGAGAUUAGCUAGUUGGUGAGGUAACGGCUCACCAAGGCGACGAUCUCUAACGGGUCUGAGAGGAUGAUCAGUCACACUGGAACUGAGACACGGUCCAGACUCCUACGGGAGGCAGCAGUAGGGAAUAUUGCACAAUGGAGGAAACUCUGAUGCAGCGACGCCGCGUGAGUGAUGAAGGCUUUCGGGUCGUAAAGCUCUGUCGCAGGGGAAUAACACAAUGAAUGUACCCUGUAAGAAAGGAUCGGCUAACUUCGUGCCAGCCGCCGCCGUAA